AACGAACGCUGGCGGCAUGCCUAACACAUGCAAGUCGAACGAGACCUUCGGGUCUAGUGGCGCACGGGUGCGUAACGCGUGGGAACCUGCCCUUAGGUUCGGAAUAACUCCCCGAAAGGGGUGCUAAUACCGGCUAAUGUCUUCGGACCAAAGGUUUAUCGCCUUUGGAUGGGCCCGCGUUGGAUUAGCUAGUUGGUAGGGUAAAAGCCUACCAAGGCGACGAUCCAUAGCUGGUCUGAGAGGAUGAUCAGCCACACUGGGACGGAGACACGGCCCAGACUCCUACGGGAGGCAGCAGUGGGGAAUAUUGGACAAUGGGCGAAAGCCUGAUCCAGCAAUGCCGCGUGAGUGAUGAAGGCCUUAGGGUUGUAAAGCUCGUUUACCCGGGAUGAUAAUGACAGUACCGGGAGAAUAAGCUCCGGCUAACUCCGUG
rnacentral:rRNA from 1 species